GUGAAUCAUCAGUAAGGGGAAGAUACUCUUCCAAAUGUGCUGUGCAGGACUGUCUUGGAAGCACCAAAAGACUUCUAGUGCUACCUUAUGACUCUGGUUGCAAAACUUUGAUUACGUGGACGAAGCUACUAAUCAUUCUCCGUCAGAGAAAUUGCGAAGUCAGGUUUUGGCAGAGCAAGAAUUGUUGUGCAGGAUAUCUCUCUGAAAAGGUUGAUGAAAUGUUGAGGAAGAAUCUUGGUAGUCGAUCAACUCUAUCUCGAACAGUAAAAAAUUUAAAGGCCGGAGCCCUUCGGGAUUUUGCCAAAGAUGCCACUUCCUAUUGCCAGGCAUGACACCGACGGCAUGCUAGUGAAUAAUUAGCUCUCCAAGAACUUACAGAUACCGAAGGCCUGUUGGAAUAUAUACAAAUCCCUAAGAAGAUUGUCGCUGUAAUAUGUGCUCCACCAAUUUAUCCUCAUUAUGAAUCAGAAAGGUAACUUCCAUAAGCCCAAGAUUAUGUCACCUAGUAUUCUCAUCCUACUAUUUUCAGUCUUUUCUAGAUUCACAUUGAGGCCAUGGGUGUUCCUUAUGUGAAAUCUCUUGUGCUCUAAUUAUUGAUAGAUUCAGCUGUGUGCAAGAGGCAUAUUUCCAUUUCCAGUUUUAGAUUUCUCCAUUUAAGCACAAGUUUGAUUUCUUUUAGUUGAGAUGAUUCCCAGAUUUUUGCAUUUUUUUUUCCAACACAACCGGACCUUUUACAGCCAUCCUUUUAUGUAGUUCACGUUUAUUAUCUUUAACAAAUAAGUAGAUUCCUUUCAGAUCUAUAUACUUAUUGUUGCUUAACUUUUCAGUAUCAAUUGGAUUGUAUCAGAAUAUAUAUUUCCUUAGUUGAUGGCUCUAAAAGGGGUUUGCAUUCAUUAUCUCUUACAGUUAAUCCCCAUAGAUCAUGAAAAUAAUGUUGAUUAUAAAAUGAAAACCCCAUAUGAUCGUUGUAGGUGAAAUUAUAUGUGGUUUUGAGAUUGCAGUCUGAAUAUAUUUAUGGGUGUGGGGUUAUUAUGUCAAGACUGGGAAACUGUUCCAAUCUCUGACUUUUCCAUAGAGAAAAUGACAAAGAACUAAAGAAACGAAGAAAGCUCAUUCUCACUGCAUAAAGCAGCACGGGAGAGACAAAACCUGCACACACUCUGAACAUUAGAAUCUGCAGUUCCCUUCACAGAAGAACGCAAACCAAAGCUAAAUCACUCUCCCCCUUUUGCCAAAUCCAACUCUGUUAUCUUCUUAAUCUCAGUUUGCAGGCUUUGAAUAUAUUACAUGAAAGAAAAGAAAAAAAAAAAUUGAACUCCUUUUCAUGUCAAACAAAAUUUUUACAAAUGUGGCUGCUAGAUUACCAUGGCUUGGUUUCUCUCUCUCUCUCUCUGCGGCUGAUUUUUUUCUUUUCCAGCCUUGGUGUGAAUCCAUAGGUAUGUAUGAAUUUAUUAUUAUUUUGGUGUUUUCUGGGCAGAGAUUGACUGAUAUCUUGUAGUAGACAGUUUAAUAUUGUUUUAAGGAGCAUAAUAAUUCCUAUAGAUUGUUCUGUGAGAAAAAUCUUUGCAGGAUUCCUUUCCUGUCCAUUAGCCUUGGAGGAGAAAACAAAAUGAAAUGAUUUAAGCUGCUUUAAUACUCUUUUCGAUCCAUAAUCGAAAGAUCGAACAAUCAACUUCUUGGAUGAUAGUUGAUUCUUUAUCUGGUAAGUUACCGUCUGAAUUCGACUUUCCUAAUUUAUAAUUAUAGAUUUGUUUUACAUCAGGUUAGGAUUUAUUUUACGGACUUUUGAAUUUCACCUAAUGCUUUAGGGUUAUAUUUCUAUUCCAUUACUUAUGAUGUUUAAAACGAAGUCGGGACUUGGUCUAAAUAAAUGGAUGCUCAUUAAGUAGCACAGGGUAAGAUAGUGAAUAGAUAAAUCAGAUUUGGAGACUUAGACUAAAUAAAUGGAUGCUCAUUAAGUAGCACAGGAUAAGAUAGUGAAUAGAUAAAUCAGAUUUGGACACUCCACUCGACCCGCUCUUGCUAAUUCCAAAGUCGAGAUGUAUAUAAUGUUUAAAACUAAAUCAAUACAUAUAAAGCUUCUACCUACUCCUCAAAUUGCUCUCAUCCCCAUCAAUACAUUUGCCAAAAAAGAAAACCCAAAUCAUUGGGAUUGUUAAAUUUCAAAAGACCAAGAUUGGGAAGGAGAGAAAGAGAGAGAGAGAAUCUAAUUGUAUCUUGGUGGAGCAUAGAUGGGAAUGCAGUUCAUUAUUAUAAGAUGUGGACCCCUCUCCAUCCCACAAGUGAAGAAUUUUGGUUUGGUCCCAAAUUCUGAGUCUCUCUCUAGAUUUCCAUGCAAACAUAUCCUUAUGGGAACAUCACAAUAAUUCUCAUACCAGCAACCCUAAGAUAUA